UAUGCUCUAAAGCUUGCCAAAGUGUCUCUUGACCUCUAUCACCAGGAGCCAUACUGUAAUAUACUUUUAGUAUACAUUAUACAGUGACUUUUGUUUACUACAGCCUAAAAAGUUGACUUUUCAUCCAACCACUGGUGAUGCAUUUAGGAAAGUGCCCUCAAGUUCAAACUCACCUUAUGUAAUUAGAUGAUUCAGUGCAACAACAUAUUUUAUUUAAUGUUACUUCUGUCCAAAAUACUAGCUUAUUUUAUAACCUGGUUGAGGUUCUGUCGUACUCACACAUCUGGAUUGAAAUGUACAAGCUUAUUGGAGUGCUCGCAGUAACACGUAGAUUCUUUUAUAGGGUGGAUUUUCCCUCAUGGAGUGCUCAUGGAGGCCCUCUCCUCCAGAGGAAAUCGGCCUGCUCGUGAAGGUUUCACCGCCUUAAAUGUGGCCGCAAAUUGCUGCACCUCAAUUAUCCGAAUCCCAACCGAUAAUUAGUGUGCCACUCACUUCUUGGCUUGCAUGGAGGAAGAGAUUCACACCUCAGGUUCUCUCAUCCGUCACGUUCCUCCCCUCGCAACAAGCAAGCCUGAACCCUCCCCUGCUGCCUCCGGUCCCCCUCCAAGAAAAAAACAGCCUUUCAGCUCCAGAGGAGAAGGGGGAGGAGGUGAGGGGAUGACAGAGGAAGAGACCAACGCAGAGAGAUGGAUUUAAGUUACACACAAACCAAUACAGCCCACUACCACCCGCUUCCGGCCCUGGGACAAACACAGGCCUUGCUGCGACAGAAUGGGCGCCUUCACUGUGGAAUGAAGAGCCUGGCUAAAAAUAGGACAUCUGUAUUAACAAUCAAGCUGUGGCCCUGAGUGUUCCGGGGGCCUAAUUGGGCCGACUGCUGGCGUUGAUUGUGAUGGAUGGAGGGGGG